GAGCGAAAACAACGGAGCAUUUGACCUGCAGUAUAGAGAUGCUGGUUCCAGUAAGCUUCCUCCCUGCUCUGUAAAUUAGUUUUGAACCUACAAGAGGCUUGAUAAGUGACACAGAAGUGGCAUGGAAAGUUGACGCAUGAUUCAAAAGCAAAUACACACAGUAAGUAGCUCUCCCUGCAAAGCUUGCUUGGCUUUUAUCCUCACCCCAUCACUGCUAGAGCUAUUCCGAGUGCUGCCUCCCUCUUCUUCCAAAUGAUUAAACCCUGACUGUGCUCGGGGGAGGCGAGGGUGGUUCAAACCAUAAAUAAAGAUGCGAGUCUAAAGGUCAAGCAAGCCAAACUGAUAUUUCAACACCCAGGUCAUACCGGGCUGUACACUCAGUUGGACUCUGUGUCCAGUGGAUAUUUAUAAAAAUUUGCCUCAAUUAGUCCAUCUAACUCCUUUCUCUCUUCUCAAUGUACAACACCAGAAGAUGUUAACUCUAGUGUUGCUGCUGUAUUAACAGCAGUCCUUAGUCUUGUGUUCACACACACACACAUAAAUCCACACCUGAGUGAGCCAGGUCAGUCUCGUUAGCCCUAUUUUGUAGCUGGGCUUCAGAGUCAAGGUGGGGUGCCAGGCUCAGACAAGAGGUCAGUGAGAGCCCCCAGGUAAGAAUUAACACCCCAACCCAUGGCACAGCAUUCUCCAAUUUAUCAGAGGUUGCUGGGACCAUUGUGGAAGGUGGCAGCAACGUUGUGACAGGCAAACAUGCAAUCAGAUGAAAGAUUUUUGUUUUCUUAAUUCAUAGUCAGUCCCCCAGUGAUCACUGGAGGCAGGAGGGGAUAAAUGCAGAUGCAGAAACGGAAGUAUUUGCAAUUUUGUGCUGAAGCAAGUUUGUAGCUUUGUGGUUUAUUUUCAAGGGUAGGCAUUACGCUCACUGAGUUGAGCACAAAUUAUCUCUAGGUUUGAGUCUGUUCAGUGGAAUUGGAGUCACUGGAUCUGGAGCCAGCCAGCCUGUUAUUUGGGGAGGGCAAAGAAGUGGCUGUGUCUGAACUGCCCACCCGAUCUUGCCAACACUUCUGUGACCUUUCUCUGGAAGUGGAGAGCUGGAGUCCAGUGGGAGCACAACCAUCGCUUUAGAAAGGAAAGAAGUAGAGGCAGCUUCUGAUUUUGGCAGCAUAAGCCCACCUGCUUCAGGGAUGCAGCAGCCUCAGAUAUCACACAGUUAACAAAUUGAAGACUCCCGGCCAUUGUUUGAACUGGAUAUGCUGCUGCCAGUUAAAAAAGAAAAGUCUGUCUGAUACUCAGGUAUGAUGGCGAUGAGCCCAGUACCAAUGACUCUAUGUUUGCAAAGCAAGGAAUUGUGUAGUGUAUCAGCUUUGAUGCUUAAUGCCAUAUAAAUUGCACAUGGCAUGAUUGGAAGAACUGGCCCAUAGAGGAGAUUGCUGUGGUUGUCAGAGAAGGGCAGAAUAAUGAAGAUCUUCAGAAAGGGCUAUAAGAGACAAGGAGAAAAAUGAAAACUAAAACAUCCAUGUUCAGUCCAUGAAAGAAACCAUAUCUGCAAAAUUC